UACAGGGAGUGCAAACGUUGCUCGGAAUUAUUGGGCGUAAAGCGCGCGUAGGCGGCUACUUAAGUCGGAUGUGAAAGCCCUUGGCUCAACUGAGGAAGUGCACCCGAAACUGAGUGGCUUGAGUACGAAAGAGGGUCGCGGAAUUCCCGGUGUAGAGGUGAAAUUCGUAGAUAUCGGGAGGAACACCGGUGGCGAAGGCGGCGACCUGGGUCGAUACUGACGCUGAUGCGCGAAAGCGUGGGGAGCAAACGAGGAUUAGAAACCCCGUCGUGA
rnacentral:rRNA from 1 species